AGCACUUGUCCAUUGGGGGACCUCUCCCCUCUUUGAGCACGGGGCCCACCCCCUUUGAGCACAGGGACCCCUGCAAUUGCUGUGAGUAGGCUUCCAGCUAGCCCCUCCCAGAAACAGCUGUGUCCCCCUUGGCCCUUCCUGUCUGGGCCACAGGCUAUUUUUAGCACUGAAUCCGGAACCCACAUAGCAGCAGCUGCUUGUGGCCGGAGCGCAAGAACAACAAACCAUCCAGGGUCUUACUCUGUUGCCCCAGUUGGAGUGCAGUGCUGUGAUCACCGAUUACUGCAGCCUCAACUUCCCUGGCUCAGGUAAUCCUCCCUGAGCCUCAGUCUCCUGGGUAGCUGGGACCACAGGCUCAAGCCAUCAUGCCCGGCUAAUUUUUUGUAAUUUUUGUAGAGACGGGGUUUUGCCAUGCUGCCCGGGCUGUUCUCAAACUCCUGGGCUCAAGCAAUCCACCCACCGUGGCCUCCCAAGGUACUUGGAUUACAGGCGUAAACCACUGUGCCUGGCCCAUUAAUGGUGUCUUUUAACACACAGAUUUUUAAUUUUAAUAAGGUUAAAUCCUCAUAAGAAAUCUGCGUGGUUUAUCCUUGUUUAACCCGGGGUUAUAAAAGUAUUAUAUAUUUCCUUUUUAUUUUUAUUUUUUGAGAUGGAGUUUCACUCUGUCAUCUAGGCUGGAGUACAGUGGCGCAAUCUUGGCUCACUGCAACCUCUGUCUCCUGGGUUCAGGUGACUCUCCUGCCUCAGCCUCCUGAGUAGCUGGGAUUACAGGUGCCCGCCACCACACCCAGCUAAUUUUUGUAUUUUUAGUAGAGACGGGGUUUCGCCAUGUUGGCCAGGCUGGUCUGGAACUCCUGACCUCAGGUGAUCCACCUGCCUUGGCCUCCCAAAGUGCUCGGAUUACAGGCAUUAGCCACCUCGCCCGGCCUUUACAUUUUUUUUUAUAGAGAUGGGGGUCUGCCCAUGUUGCCCAGGCUGGUCUUGAACUUAUGCGCUCAAGUGAUCCUCCUGCCUCAGUCUCCCAAAGUGCUGGGAUUACAGGUGGGAGCUACUGCGUCCAGCCUAAAAUGUUUGAAGUUAGGUUUUUGCAUUAGGUUUGUGUGUACCUGGAAUGACUUUUGUAUAUGAAGUGAGACAGAGGUCCACACUUUUUCCCCAUAUCAUCAACUGUCCUAGCGCCAUUUAUUAGCCCGUCACUUCCCACUUAUUUAUUAUUAUUAUUUUUUGAGACGGAGUCUCUCUGUCGCCCAGACGGGAGUGCAGUGGCACGACCUUGGCUCACUG
rnacentral:lncRNA from 1 species